AUAACAAUAAUCCCUUAAGUUUUAUAGAUUCUUUUAAGACAAAUAUAGAGUUUCACUCAAAAUUAUUUAGUUCAGCUGAACUAGUAAGCACACUCACCCUUCCUCCCUGCGGGGCUGCGGCCAUCCUGAUUUGAAAUUCGACUGAUUUUGAAACAGGAACUAUGGUCUGCUUUCUUUGGAAAUCAUUGCGCAGUGUAAAUUCAAAAUACUGAUUGAUUUUGAAACCAUUGUAUUUGGUUUUUCAAAGGAAAGCAGGAACAAUGAAGAUGGAUAAAUUGAGCGACUUGAAGCACCUAUUUGUUACUGUAUUUCUUGCAAAUUUUGCGUUGAAUGUGAUUCCUCCUGCCAUAACUGAUAUCACAGUUGGCGCACUCUGCCCUUCUCAAGACGAAUGCUCACUUGCCAUUUAUCUCUCUGGUUUCCAGCAAGCUAUCUUAGGGCUGGGAUCAAUGAUGAUGUUGCCAUUGCUUGGACAUCUAUCUGAUAUAUACGGAAGAAAAGCUUUGCUUACAGUUCCGGUAGCUGCCUCCAUUAUUCCGUCAGUAAUAUUGGCUAUCGGCAGAUCAACAAACUAUUUCUACGUGUAUUAUGCUGUAAAAACCUUCACUGGUAUGGUCAGUGACAGUGGAAUUGAGUGCCUCUCCAUUGCUUAUGCGGCAGCUAACAUAUCAGAAGAAAAACGUGUUUCUGCAAUUGGAUUUGUUGCCGGCAUAGGCUCUGCUGCAUCUCUCUUGGGUACCAUGGCUGCUCGUUUCCUCUCCACUGCACAGAUCUUUCUGAUAGCUGCCAUUUCUUCAAUGGUUGCAACAAUUUACAUGAGAAUAUUUGUAAAGGAGACGAGCGGCCGUAUUGACAGUGAACCUCUAAAUCAACCUAUAUUGGUCGAUAAUGGUGAAGAAUGUUCUCAAUCAAAAAGUGUGUCACAGAGCUUUAAGGAAGUGUUACCACUCAAGGAUAUUUUCUGCUUGCUGAAGAGUAGCGUGACGCUUUCGCUAGCAACAGUGAUUGCUUUCUUGAAUGGUCUAGGAGAAGGUGGACAACAAACUCCAUAUUUGUACUUCUUAAAAGCUCGACUUCAAUACAACAAAGAUAACUUUGCUGUGUUAAUGCUUAUUGGUUACACUGGAGCAGCAAUUGGCCAGUUAUUCUUGAUGCCUCGGUUGGCUCCUAUUACAGGAGAGGAGGCAAUUCUCUCCGUAUCCUGCAUCGCUGGAUUUAUAAGUAUGCUAAUUGUUAGCAUUGCAUGGGCAGUAUGGGUUCCUUAUGUUGCUAAUUUGUUGCCUAUCAUUGCCUUCCUUACAAGACCUGCUUUACAAAGCAUUGUUUCAAAACAAGUUGGACCAAAUGAGCAGGGAAUUGCUCAAGGGUGCAUUGCAGGCAUAAGCUCAUUUGGCAAUAUUCUUUCUCCAUUAAUAUAUACUCCUCUAACAGAUCUAUUUUUAUCUGAGAAGGCUCCAUUCAAUUAUCCUGGAUUCAACUUGUUCUGCGUCGGCCUUGCUUGGUUGAUAGCUUUAAUCCCCAGUAUGAUGAUACAGUUUGGUACCAAAAAUUCAAGACUCAAAAUCAGAGACGGUGGCUGUACCUUGGAUGCCUAAUUUUUGAGGUUCAAAGUUCUUCUUUCUUUCAACUAAUUUUUAAAAAUAUGUAUCAUCUAGGAAGGUUUUCAUUCACUUAAAUCUCAUAAAACUUAGAAGAGAAGUUGUCUCAUCAAAUGACUGAGAUUAACGAGUAAUACGUGCAAUUACAAGCUGUAGGAGAUGGCUCGAUUGACUAGUCAAUAUUUAUCUGGUUUCGAAUUGAACCAGCUACCUGUCACAAGUCACAGCUGUAGAAGUAGAACUAUCC